CUACGUAGGUGGCAAGCGUUGUACGGAAUUACUGGGUGUAAAGGGCGUGUAGGCGGAGAUGCAAGUCAGGAGUGAAAUCUAGGGGCUCAACCCCUAAACUGCUUUUGAAACUGUAUCCCUUGAGUAUCGGAGAGGCAGGCGGAAUUUCUAGUGUAGCGGUGAAAUGCGUUGAUAUUAGGAGGAACACCAGUGGCGAAGGCGGCCUGCUGGACGACAACUGUCGCUGAGGCGCGAAAUCGUGGGGAGCAAACAGGAUUAGAUACCCUGGUAGUCCACGCUGUAAACGAUGAAUACUAGGUGUUGGGGGACUGACCCCCUCCGUGCCGCAGUUAACACAAUAAGUAUUCCACCUGGGGAGUACGAUCGCAAGGUUGAAACUCAAAUGAAUUGGCGGGG
rnacentral:rRNA from 1 species